rnacentral:rRNA from 1 species
AUGGAUCCACCUGGGGUCGCCCUCUCUGGAACCAGUGUUGCCGACGGCUCAUCCGGGGUGCUGGAUCUUGGUGAUGUGCUGGAACAACUCAACUUGGAAGACGAAGAAUUUGAUGAUCUGGUAAUAGAUGAAGCCGAUCCAAAGAUCACUGAAAGUGUGAGGUGGCUUGCGCUGGCUAGGGCUUGCACGGGCAAGAACUUCAGCCAGCCGGCCUUCUACAAGGAUAUGCGUGCAGCAUGGAAUCCGGCGCAGCCGGUGAGGUUUCGCCCGGUAGGUCCGAAGCUCUUUGUCGUGCAGGUGUCAUGUUUGGGAGACUGGGAACGGAUGAUGGAUCAAGGGCCAUGGCUCUUCAGGAGUCUACUUGUGCUGAUGGUUCCAUAUGAUGGCUUUACAAAAGGAGAAGAGGUGCCGAUGGUGUUCAUGCCGAUCUGGCUCCAAAUUCAUAAGAUCCCGGAGGCGUUCUGUAAGAAAACCAUUGUGGAAAAUCUGCUUCGGAAUUCAGGAGAGAUAAUAGAGAUGAGGCUCAACGGUAAUGCUCGUGGUGAUUAUAUUAGGGUUAGGGUUCAGCAUGACGUCCGCCGACCUCUCACCAAGUUUGUCAGUGUCAUGAGGGGGAAAGAACGCCAGAUUUAUUUGGUGAGAUAUGAAAAAUUGGCACGCUUUUGCAGUGUAUGUGGGCUGAUUGGACACGACUGCAAGGAGUGUGGAUCCAGUGUGCAUGAGGAGAAGGAUAAGAAGUAUGGCCCUUGGCUCUAUGCGGACGGCCUGAAUAACCUCCUUUCCAAUGAUAGCUUUAGUCGAGGUGGGAACCAGAAGCAGCCCGCUCCUCAACCCUUGCAGAACUCCUCGCCAAGGGAGAAGGUGGUUGAUCCGGAGUCCCUGGAUGCGGCAACAUGCCCGUCUAAGGAGGAACACACGAACAUGCAAGUGGAUCCUGCUACUAGGAAAAGACUAGCAUUGGAGGAUGAUCAACCAGCUUCUAUUAGCGUGCCAAGCAACAGUUCUCGGGGUGUCUUGGCACUUACUCAAGGGAAGGGGGAGGAUGAGACGGAGAACUCCUCUUCUUCCAGCAGCAACAACAACAAGAGAGCCCGUGUCGACUCGAGUAAUGUGUCUAAUGAUAGAUCGGCACACUACAGGAAACAGUUAAUUUGCCGUCUGUGGAUCACAGACGGCAAAGACGUAAAUCCAGACGGCAAAGAAUUUGCCGUCAGUAAGUAG